rnacentral:rRNA from 1 species
GUACCGUAAACCGACACAGGUAGUCAAGGAGAGAAUCCUGAGGUGCUCGAGUGAUCCACGGCUAAGGAACUAGGCAAAAUAGUCCUGUAACUUCGGGAGAAAGGACGCCUCCCUCUUCAAGAGGAGGCCGCAGUGAAAAGGCCCAGGCGACUGUUUAACAAAAACACAUGGCUUUGCGAAAUCGAAAGAUGAAGUAUAAGGCCUGACACCUGCCCGGUGCUGGAAGGUUAAGGGGGGAUGUUAGUGGCAACACGAAGCAUUGAACCGAAGCCCCAGUAAACGGCGGC